AUUGAACGCUGGCGGAAUGCUUUACACAUGCAAGUCGAACGGUAGAGGGGGCAACCCCUCGAGAGUGGCGAACGGGUGGGUAAUAUAUCGGAACGUGCCCAGUCGUGGGGGAUAACGUAGCGAAAGUUACGCUAAUACCGCAUACGAUCUAAGGAUGAAAGCGGGGGAUCGCAAGACCUCGCGCGAUUGGAGCGGCCGAUAUCAGAUUAGGUAGUUGGUGGGGUAAAGGCUCACCAAGCCAACGAUCUGUAGCUGGUCUGAGAGGACGACCAGCCACACUGGAACUGAGACACGGUCCAGACUCCUACGGGAGGCAGCAGUGGGAAUUUUGGACAAUGGACGCAAGUCUGAUCCAGCCAUUCCGCGUGCAGGAUGAAGGCCCUCGGGUUGUAAACUGCUUUUGUACGGAACGAAAAGGUCUCUCUUAAUACGGGGGACUCAUGACGGUACCGUAAGAAUAAGCACCGGCUAACUACGUGCCAGCCGCCGCAGUAA
rnacentral:rRNA from 1 species